rnacentral:rRNA from 1 species
GUUGGGUAGGGGAGCGUUCUGUAAGCCUGUGAAGGUGGCCUGUGAGGGUUGCUGGAGGUAUCAGAAGUGCGAAUGCUGACAUAAGUAACGAUAAAGCGGGUGAAAAGCCCGCUCGCCGGAAGACCAAGGGUUCCUGUCCAACGUUAAUCGGGGCAGGGUGAGUCGACCCCUAAGGCGAGGCCGAAAGGCGUAGUCGAUGGGAAACGGGUUAAUAUUCCCGUACUUGGUGUUACUGCGAAGGGGGGACGGAGAAGGCUAUGUUGGCCGGGCGACGGUUGUCCCGGUUUAAGCGUGUAGGUGUGUGUUCCAGGUAAAUCCGGUUCACUUUAACACUGAGGCGUGAUGACGAGGCACUACGGUGCUGAAGCAACAAAUGCCCUGCUUCCAGGAAAAGCCUCUAAGCAUCAGGUAACAUCAAAUCGUACCCCAAACCGACACAGGUGGUCAGGUAGAGAAUACCAAGGCGCUUGAGAGAACUCGGGUGAAGGAACUAGGCAAAAUGGUGCCGUAACUUCGGGAGAAGGCACGCUGACAUGUAGGUGAAGUGAUUUACUCAUGGAGCUGAAGUCAGUCGAAGAUACCAGCUGGCUGCAACUGUUUAUUAAAAACACAGCACUGUGCAAACACGAAAGUGGACGUAUACGGUGUGACGCCUGCCCGGUGCCGGAAGGUUAAUUGAUGGGGUCAGCGCAAGCGAAGCUCCUGAUCGAAGCCCCGGUAAACGGCGGCCGUAACUAUAACGGUCCUAAGGUAGCGAAAUUCCUUGUCGGGUAAGUUCCGACCUGCACGAAUGGCGUAAUGAUGGCCAGGCUGUCUCCACCCGAGACUCAGUGAAAUUGAACUCGCUGUGAAGAUGCAGUGUACCCGCGGCAAGACGGAAAGACCCCGUGAACCUUUACUAUAGCUUGACACUGAACAUUGAGCCUUGAUGUGUAGGAUAGGUGGGAGGCUUUGAAGUGUGGACGCCAGUCUGCAUGGAGCCGGCCUUGAAAUACCACCCUUUAAUGUUUGAUGUUCUAACGUGGACCCGUAAUCCGGGUUGCGGACAGUGUCUGGUGGGUAGUUUGACUGGGGCGGUCUCCUCCUAAAGAGUAACGGAGGAGCACGAAGGUUGGCUAAUCCUGGUCGGACAUCAGGAGGUUAGUGCAAUGGCAUAAGCCAGCUUGACUGCGAGCGUGACGGCGCGAGCAGGUGCGAAAGCAGGUCAUAGUGAUCCGGUGGUUCUGAAUGGAAGGGCCAUCGCUCAACGGAUAAAAGGUACUCCGGGGAUAACAGGCUGAUACCGCCCAAGAGUUCAUAUCGACGGCGGUGUUUGGCACCUCGAUGUCGGCUCAUCACAUCCUGGGGCUGAAGUAGGUCCCAAGGGUAUGGCUGUUCGCCAUUUAAAGUGGUACGCGAGCUGGGUUUAGAACGUCGUGAGACAGUUCGGUCCCUAUCUGCCGUGGGCGCUGGAGAACUGAGGGGGGCUGCUCCUAGUACGAGAGGACCGGAGUGGACGCAUCACUGGUGUUCGGGUUGUCAUGCCAAUGGCACUGCCCGGUAGCUAAAUGCGGAAGAGAUAAGUGCUGAAAGCAUCUAAGCACGAAACUUGCCCCGAGAUGAGUUCUCCCUGAGACUUAGAGUCUCCUGAAGGAACGUUGAAGACGACGACGUUGAUAGGCCGGGUGUGUAAGCGCAGCGAUGCGUUGAGCUAACCGGUACUAAUGAACCGUGAGGCUUAACCUUACAACGCCGAAG